GAUGAACGCUGGCGGCGUGCCUAAUACAUGCAAGUCGAGCGAACGGACGAGAAGCUUGCUUCUCUGAUGUUAGCGGCGGACGGGUGAGUAACACGUGGAUAACCUACCUAUAAGACUGGGAUAACUUCGGGAAACCGGAGCUAAUACCGGAUAAUAUUUUGAACCGCAUGGUUCAAAAGUGAAAGACGGUCUUGCUGUCACUUAUAGAUGGAUCCGCGCUGCAUUAGCUAGUUGGUAAGGUAACGGCUUACCAAGGCAACGAUGCAUAGCCGACCUGAGAGGGUGACCGGCCACACUGGACCUGAAACACGGUCCAGCCUCCUACGGGAGGCAGCAGUAGGGAAUCUUCCGCAAGGGGCGAAAGCCUGACGGAGCAACGCCGCGGGAGUGAUGAAGUGUUUCGGAUCGAAAAACCUUUUUAUUGGGGAAAAAAAUAUGUGUAAGUAACUGGGCCCAUCUUGCCGGUACCUAAUCAAAAAGCCACGGCUAACUACGU
rnacentral:rRNA from 1 species